rnacentral:rRNA from 1 species
GACGUAGGGUGCAAGCGUUGUCCGGAUUUAUUGGGCGUAAAGAGCUCGUAGGCGGCUUGUUGCGUCGACUGUGAAAACCCGCGGCUUAACCGCGGGCUUGCAGUUGAUACGGGCAGGCUAGAGUUCGGUAGGGGAGACUGGAAUUCCAGGUGUAGCGGUGAAAUGCGUAGAUAUCUGGAGGAAUACCGGUGGCGAAGGCGGCAUCCUGGACCGAGAUUGACACUAAAGCGCGAAAGCCAGGGGAGCAAACGGG